rnacentral:rRNA from 1 species
GACAGAGGGUGCAAACGUUGUUCGGAAUUACUGGGCGUAAAGGGCGCGUAGGCGGCCGCCUAAGUCAGACGUGAAAUCCCUCGGCUCAACCGGGGAACUGCGUCUGAGACUGGGAGGCUUGAAUCCGGGAGAGGAAUGCGGAAUUCCAGGUGUAGCGGUGAAAUGCGUAGAUAUCUGGAGGAACACCGGUGGCGAAGGCGGCAUUCUGGACCGGCAUUGACGCUGAGGCGCGAAAGCCAGGGGAGCAAACGGG